AAGUCGUAACAAGGUUUCCGUAGGUGAACCUGCGGAAGGAUCAUUAAUAGAGCAAUGAGCAGUCAGCGCCCCGGGAGCAAUCCUGGGGGCCACCCUCCUCGGAGGGUUUAGAGACGUCGAGCCUCUCGGAGAAGCUCGGUUCAGACCUCCACCCUUGAAUAAAUUACCUUUGUUGCUUUGGCAGGACGCCUCGUGCCAGCGGCUUCGGCUGUUGAGUGCCUGCCAGAGGACCACAACUCUUGUUUUUAGUGAUGUCUGAGUACUAUAUAAUAGUUAAAACUUUCAACAACGGAUCUCUUGGUUCUG
rnacentral:misc_RNA from 1 species